GUCACUCCAUGGUCACUUCAUGGUCACUGUGUGGUCACUCAGUGGUCACUUCCACGCCAUUCCAGAGGUCACUCAGUGGUCACUCAGUGGUCACUCAGAGGUCACUCAGUGGUCACUCACUGGUCAGUGGUCACUCAUUGGUCACUCAGCGGUCACUCAGUGGUCACUCAGUGGUCACUCAGUGGUCACUCAGUGGUCACUCAGUGGUCACUCAUUGGUCACUCAGGGUCACUCAGGGGUCACUCAAUGGUCACUCAUUGGUCACUCAUUGGUCACUCAGCGGUCACUCAGGGGUCACUCAUUGGUCACUCAGGGGUCACCGCGGGGUCAAAGGUCACUGACCUGCUCGCCCAGGUUGCUGAAGGCGUUCCCGUAGGCCCCGCCCCCCACAAGCCCCUCCCCCAGCGCCAGCGCCGCGGCCACGCCCAGCCCGGGCAGGAGGUGAUUGACAGCCACGGCGGCCAAUAGGAACGAGG
rnacentral:lncRNA from 1 species